rnacentral:misc_RNA from 1 species
GAUGAAGAACGUAGUGAAAUGCGAUAAGUAAUGCGAAUUGCAGAAUUCAGUGAGUCAUCGAAUCUUUGAACGCACAUUGCGCCCAUUAGUAUUCUAGUGGGCAUGCCUGUUCGAGCGUCAUUUCAACCCUUAAGCCUCUGUUGCUUAGCGUUGGGAGCCUACCUACCCGGUAGAUCCUCAAAGUUAGCUGGCAGGGUCGAGGUUCGCCCUAAGCGUAGUAGUUCUUUCUCGCUUCUGCGGCUGCCUAGGCCAUCGCCACAAGCCUUUUAAACUUCAAUGGUUGACCUCGGAUCAGGUAGGAAUACCCGCUGAACUUAAGCAUAUCAAUAAGCGGAGGA